rnacentral:rRNA from 1 species
CCUACGGGAGGCAGCAGUGAGGAAUAUUGGACAAUGGACGAGAGUCUGAACCAGCCACGUAGCGUGAAGGAUGACUGCCCUAUGGGUUGUAAACUUCUUUUAUAUGGGAAUAAAACGUUCCACGUGUGGGAUUUUGUAUGUACCAUAUGAAUACGGAUCGGCUAACUCCGUGCCAGCAGCCGCGGUAAUACGGAGGAUCCGAGCGUUAUCCGGAUUUAUUGGGUUUAAAGGGAGCGUAGGUGGAUUGUUAAGUCAGUUGUGAAAGUUUGCGGCUCAACCGUAAAAUUGCAGUUGAAACUGGCAGUCUUGAGUGCAGGAGGGGUAGGCGGAAUUCGUGGUGUAGCGGUGAAAUGCUUAGAUAUCACGAAGAACUCCGAUUGCGAAGGCAGUUCACUGGACUGCAACUGACACUGAGGCUCGAAAGUGUGGGUAUCAAACAGGAUUAGAUACCCGUGUAGUC